rnacentral:tRNA from 1 species
GUCUCGAUAGCUAAGUGGUAUAGCAUGCGAUUGCAGUGAAAUCACCUAUCGCAGGGUCCGGUGUUCGAACCACCGUCGGGACU